rnacentral:rRNA from 1 species
GUCGAACGAGGAUAUAUCCUUCGGGAUAUAAGCCGAGCGGCACAAGGGUGAGCAAUGCAUAGAUUACCUACCUUUAGGAUAAGGGCAACUUUGUGAAAACGGAGCUAAUACUUAAUAAUACAAAAGAAAAUAAUUUUCUUUGUCAAAGGGAGGGUAGCAAUACCUUUCGCCUAGAGAGGGGUUUAUGUCCUAUCAGCUUGUUGGUGGGGUAAUAGCCUACCAAGGCGAAGACGGGUAGCCGGUUUAAGAGGAUGGUCGGCCACACUGGGACUGAGACACUGCCCAGACUUCUACGGAAGGCUGCAGUCGAGAAUCUUUCGCAAUGCCCGAAAGGGUGACGAAGCGACGCCGCGUGGGUGAAGAAGGCCUUCGGGUUGUAAAGCCCUGUCAGGAGUUAUGAAAUGUAAGUGCGCUAAUAUCGUGCUUAUUUGACAAAGGCUCCAAAGGAAGCCACGGCUAACUCUGUGCCAGCAGCCGCGGUAAUACAGAGGUGGCGAGCGUUGUUCGGAAUUAUUGGGCGUAAAGAGCACGUAGGUGGGUUUGCAAGUCAGAUGUGAAAGCCUUCUGUUCAACGGAAGAAUUGCAUCUGAAACUGCUAAUCUUGAGUAUAGGAGGGGAGAAUGGAACUACUGGUGGAGCGGUGAAAUGCGUAGAUAUCAGAAGGAACGCCGGCGGCGAAAGCGAUUCUCUGGCCUAUUACUGACACUCAGUGUGCGAAAGCUAGGGGAGCAAACGGGAUUAGAUACCCCGGUAGUCCUAGCCGUAAACGAUGGGCACUAAGUAGAGGGAAUUACCUAUAUUCUCUCUGCCGUAGCUAACGCAUUAAGUGCCCCGCCUGGGGAGUACGGCCGCAAGGCUAAAACUCAAAAGAAUUGACGGGGGCUCGCACAAGCGGUGGAGCAUGUGGCUUAAUUCGAUGCAACGCGAAAAACCUUACCGGGGCUUGACAUGAUAGAAGUAGGAACCUGAAAGGGGGACGAACGGUAUCCAGUCCGUAGCUAUUACAGGUGUUGCAUGGCUGUCGUCAGCUCGUGUCGUGAGACGUUGGGUUAAGUCCCCUAACGAGCGAAACCCUUGUUUUUAGUUACCAGCGGGUUAUGCCGGGUACUCUAGAAAGACUGCCGUCGUCAAGACGGAGGAAGGUGGGGAUGACGUCAAGUCAUCAUGGCCCUUAUGCCCCGGGCUGCACACGUGCUACAAUGGUCGGUACAGACGGAAGCGAAGCCGAGAGGUGAAGCGAAUCCUAAAAAGCCGAUCUCAGUUCGGAUUGGAGGCUGAAAUUUCGCCUCCAUGAAGGUUGGAAUCGCUAGUAAUCGCGGAUCAGCAAUGUCGCGGUGAAUAUGUUCCCGAGCCUUGUACACACCGCCCGUCAAGCCACCCAAGCAGGAUGCACCCGAAAACAUUAUAUCUAACCAGGGCAACUUGGAGGAAAAUGUUGAAGGAGUGUUUUGUGAGGAGGACUAAGUCGUAACAAGGUAGUCGUAGGAGAACCUGCGGCUGGAUCACCUCCUU